CCACCGGUUUCCCUAAGUGAGCCUAGGAUAUGGGAAGUUGUCGCUUGCCACUCAAGCUCCAGAUGUUGCUUGGAAUAAAGAUGGAUAGACCCAUUCAGCUCCAUCAUUCAGGAGUAAAGAGUGAGAUGCAUCCCCAAGCAUCUCUGGACAUCUGGACAAGAAAGGACAUGUGACUGAAGAAGCUGACACUUCAAAACAAGUACAAAGCAUUGUCGAACUGGACUUGGCUUAUAGCCCAGUGGUGUACACAGUGAUUCUCCAAGUUCAGUGAAUGAAAUAUUGUGCUAAAUAAUCAAUAUUCAUAUCUAAUGGAAAAACAGUAAAUAUGAACUUCAUGUAUUUUCAAUAGUUCUAAAAACAUUUAUACUUACGUGAAAGGAAGUGCAUUGAGAAUUAUUGUAAAUUUACAUAAGGUAUUGUAAAUUUUGGGAAACGUGAAUAUUCUGUUUUGUCUUAAUUUAUUCAGAGAAGAGCAUCAGUAAAAUCAAAACUAAGAAGGUACUACAAUUCAGCUAUAAACUUGAUAUGGCCUGUUUACAGACCAUAAUUUAUUUUAUGGCAUCAGCAAAGAAAUGUUUUGAUCCUUUUAACUGAUUACAUGAGGCAAAACCAGCUGGGAUUUAAGAUAUCACAAAUUUAUCAAAGCUGAUAGAUUUAUAUAAGCCUGCAUUAAAUCUGAACAUAUAUUAAAUAUAAACUCCAAAUUAUCAUAUCAUCAAAUCAAUGAAUUACAGUUCUGGAUGUGGCUGGCAAAACUAUUACACAUAAUGUAGACUAUAAUGUACACAUGCCCUCUUAAUACUGAUAAGAGGGAAUUUCUGGCAACAUAUGAUUUUUGGUAUUGAUUAUAUUCUGGCUAAGAAAUGGUUGAAUAUAUUAAAAGCCAUGGAAUUUUUUUUUUAAAUCUUCAUUUUAUUUCAGCCACAAGAUUUUAACCAAUAAUAGAAGAAGAAUGUUGGUUUACAAGA